CAAUAGCGUAUAUUAAAGUUGUUGCAGUUAAAAAGCUCGUAGUUGGAUUUCUGGUGGGAGCGAUCGGUCUGGCGCUUAGCGCGAGUACUUGCAUCGUCUCCGGCCAUCCUUGGGGAGAGUCUGUCUGGCAUUAGGUUGUCGGGCAGAGGAUCCUCAUCGUUUACUGUGAAAAAAUUAGAGUGUUCAAAGCAGGCUUAUGCCGUUGAAUAUAUUAGCAUGGAAUAAUAAGAUAGGACUUUGGUACUAUCUUGUUGGUUUGCGCACCAAAGUAAUGAUUAAUAGGGACAGUUGGGGGUAUUCGUAUUCCGUUGUCAGAGGUGAAAUUCUUGGAUUUACGGAAGACGAACUACUGCGAAAGCAUUUACCAAGGAUGUUUCCAUUAA
rnacentral:rRNA from 1 species